CCCUUAGAUGUCCUGGGCUGCACGCGCGCUACACUGGAAGUUACGGAUUGAGAUACUACCUUGUCCGAAAUGGUCCGGGUAAUCACCUAAAAGCUUGUCAUAAUUGGAAUGGAUUAUUGUAACUAGUAAUCCUGAACGAGGAAUUCCUAGUAAGUCCCAGUCAACAGCUGGUACUGAUUACGUCCCUGCCCUUUGUACACACCGCCCGUCGCUACUACUGAUUGGACGUUUAAGCAAGAUUUUUAAACACUGACAGCGUGUAGUUCACGCUAUACUACAGUGAGAAGAAGAAGAUCGAGCUUACUUGUCUAGAGGAAGUAAAAGUCGUAACA
rnacentral:rRNA from 1 species